CUACAAUGAUGGUAAGUUUUUGUCAACAGAGUUCACCUAAUGAGUGAACACUUUGGGUCUGGGUGG
ensembl:snoRNA small nucleolar RNA SNORD56